AUGAACGCUGGCGGCGUGCCUAAUACAUGCAAGUCGAGCGAACAGACGAGGAGCUUGCUCCUCUGACGUUAGCGGCGGACGGGUGAGUAACACGUGGAUAACCUACCUAUAAGACUGGGAUAACUUCGGGAAACCGGAGCUAAUACCGGAUAAUAUAUUUAACCGCAUGGUUCAAUAGUGAAAGACGGUUUUGCUGUCACUUAUAGCUGGAUCCGCGCCGCAUUAGCUAGUUGGUAAGGUAACGGCUUACCAAGGCAACGAUGCGUAGCCGACCUGAGAGGGUGAUCGGCCAAACUGGAACUGAGACACGGGCCAGACUCCUACGGGAGGCAGCAGUAGGGAAUCUUCCGCAAUGGGCGAAAGCUUGACGGAGCAACGCCGCGUGAGUGAUGAAGGUCUUCGGAUCGUAAAACUCUGUUAUUAGGGAAGAACAAAUGUGUAAGUAACUAUGCACGUCUUGACGGUACCUAAUCAGAAAGCCACGGCUAACUACGUG
rnacentral:rRNA from 1 species